rfam:Felis catus isolate Cinnamon breed Abyssinian chromosome C1, whole genome shotgun sequence.
GCCUGGGUGGCUCAGUCAGUUAAGCGUCUGACUUUGGCUCAGGUCAUGACCUCAUGGUUCGUGAGUUCGAGCCCCGCCUCGAGCU